AGAGUUUGAUCAUGGCUCAGGAUGAACGCUAGCGGCAAGCCUAACACAUGCAAGUCGAACGGUAACUUUUGGUGCUUGCACCGAAAGACGAGUGGCGAACGGGUGCGUAACGCGUAUGCAAUCUGCCUUUUACUAGGGUAUAGCCCAGAGAAAUUUGGAUUAAUCCCCUAUAAUAUCAUUUAAUCGCAUGAUUUUAUGAUUAAAGCUUCGGCGGUAAAAGAUGAGCAUGCGUCCUAUUAGUUAGUAGGUGAGGUAACGGCUCACCUAGACUCCGAUAGGUAGGGGUCCUGAGAGGGAGAUCCCCCACACUGGUACUGAGACACGGACCAGACUCCUACGGGAGGCAGCAGUGAGGAAUAUUGGACAAUGGACGAAAGUCUGAUCCAGCUAUGCCGCGUGCAGGAUGACGGCCCUAUGGGUUGUAAACUGCUUUUAUACAGGAAGAAAAACUCCGACGUGUCGGAACUUGACGGUACUGUAAGAAUAAGGAUCGGCUAACUCCGUGCCAGCAGCCGCGGUAAUACGGAGGAUCCAAGCGUUAUCCGGAAUCAUUGGGUUUAAAGGGUCCGUAGGCGGUUUUUUAAGUCAGAGGUGAAAUCCUGCAGCUCAACUGUAGAAUUGCCUUUGAUACUGAAAGACUUGAGUUAUUGUGAAGUGGUUAGAAUGUGUGGUGUAGCGGUGAAAUGCAUAGAUAUCACACAGAAUA
rnacentral:rRNA from 1 species